GCUUACGGCCAUACCACCCUGAACGCGCCCGAUCUCGUCCGAUCUCGGAAGCUAAGCAGGGUCGGGCCUGGUUAGUACUUGGAUGGGAGACCGGCCUGGGGAACUACCAGGUGCUGGUAAGCC
rnacentral:rRNA from 15 species